UGAGGAAUCUUCCACAAUGGGCGAAAGCCUGAUGGAGCAACGCCGCGUGCAGGAUGAAGGCCUUCGGGUUGUAAACUGCUUUUAUGAGUGAAGAAUAUGACGGUAACUCAUGAAUAAGCACCGGCUAACUACGUGCCAGCAGCCGCGGUCAUACGUAGGGUGCAAGCAUUAUCCGGAGUGACUGGGCGUAAAGAGUUGCGUAGGUGGUUUAUUAAGUGAAUAGUGAAAGCUGGUGGCUCAACCAUACAGACUAUUAUUCAAACUGAUAGACUCGAGAGUAGUAGAGGUAACUGGAAUUUCUUGUGUAGGAGUGGAAUCCGUAGAUAUAAGAAGGAACACCAAUGGCGUAGGCAGGUUACUGGACUAUCUCUGACACUGAGGCACGAAAGCGUGGGGAGCGAACC
rnacentral:rRNA from 1 species